GGGAUUGUAUGGGCUCCAUGGGCUCUGUACUGCAUGUCCUCCCACACAGCUGGGAAACAAGGUGCCCUCAAGCAGUGGUAUUGGGUGGCCUCUGGUGAUACGACAGAUGUGGACUGGUCUUCAGCACAACCUCAAAACACUGCUUGGAGCCAGCACUGAAUGCUUGGAGGCAGAAUUAUAUACCUGGGUUAAAAGCAAGAGCACCCACAGGUAUGGACUAAAGGGUGGUUGUGUGAACACACACCUUCUACAGAACAGAGAAGAAUUGUGAAGGCCUCUUCCCUCUAGAACACCCAGUUCUGCUUGGGAAGAAUGUAAGUCUGCCUUCAACUUGUGGAUACACAAGAACAUACACCUUAAUCCAUGUAGGAAAACUCCUGGACUGAAAUACGUCUCCAUCCAAGAAGACUACCUGAGUAUCAACAAGUGUGCCACACAUCAGCAGUGGCUGUAGAAGACCAAACAUCUUCAGAGAAACUACUCUGAGAUCAUUCUGCUCCUCAACUCCACCACUGAAGCUGAACUGCAUCCCUAUUUAGCAAGUUUUAAUAAUCUGCCUCGGAAGAGGAUGGUUCCUGAAAACAGAUGUAUAGCUCUCUUUCAAUCACUCUAUAUAUCCAUAAAUUAAUUCCCUUUUUGUUAGGUUGCAUGUUAUGUUAAGAAGUUCUUUAAGCUAGCUUCCCAAGCAGGCUUCUAACUGACCACUAAGUAUAGGUCACAACGCAGGAUGCAGUUGCGUCCCAGUUCCCCAGCCAGACCACAGACUAUGCGGACUCCUCUCCUCUCCUCUAAUGGGGCACUUGGGAGUUUCCAUUGGUCUGAAGAAGAGUUUCUUGUUGUGAAUGUGACUGGUUCUACUUCACCUGAGUCUCAUGACAGUGUUUUUAAUGAUCAAGACCUCAAUUUUACUUAAGAUACUAAAAAAAAUUUCUAUCUUCUGUAAUAAAAAAAAUGAAAAAGUGGAGCCCCUCUAAACUGCAGAAUCUAGGAUUCAGAUAAAAUACUUUCCACCACCUUAUUUUUAAGGUACUUACAGUUUAUACAAAACCUCUCCUCCUUCUUUAGUAUCAUUUUCCAUGUGUGUUUUUUUUUUUUGCUUUUUUUUCCAAGAGAAAAUGGAGGUAAGGGAAUUCACUUACACUUUUUUACUUAUUUUUUUCUUGUUUGAGGCUGACAAUAGGCAUUUGCCAGCCUUUUGACUAUAACUAAAAUCAGGGUCAUGCUGAUUUCAUUAGAAGCGAAAUAAAGAACAACUAGUCUCAAAAUGGCAGCAGCUACCAAAUCCCUCCCAGAAGAAAGUCAGGUCAGCAUGCCACGAUGUAUCUGAACCCAAGACAAUGGGAAGGUGACUUCUUUCUCAUCACACUCAGGACAGUGCUAAGGGAAAGGCUGGGAUGAGACCCUCAGAGGAGGCACAGCCUGCCCGACAGUAUGGGCAGCGUUUGGUGGAUUUGAGGAAUUUGCAGUGCAUGCCAUAUCAACUGUUUCCUCUAAGUAUUUCAAAAGGAGUGCAAGAAGCUUUGCUUUUCCCUCUCAUAAGCCCUACAGUCUGAAGGUAACAGUCUGAUGCUGGACAAUACGGGAUGUUCAUUUCUUGUGUAACUCUUAGCUUUUUGCUUGUGUAAUUUUAGAUGAUAUGAGUAAUUGUUUUUUUCCUGCUUUCUUUUCUGUCUUUCUUGCAUCAGUGGAAAUAAAAUAUCAGAAGUAUGGGAAUACU
rnacentral:lncRNA from 7 species